rnacentral:rRNA from 1 species
GAUGAACGCUGGCGGCGUGCCUAAUACAUGCAAGUCGAGCGCGAGCGUAAGGAGCUUGCUCCUUACAAUCGAGCGGCGGACGGGUGAGUAACACGUGGGCAACCUACCCUUUAGACUGGGAUAACUACCGGAAACGGUAGCUAAUACCGGAUAAGUUGGAUUACAUAAGUAAUCUUAAUGAAAGGCGGAAUUAUCUGUCACUAAAGGAUGGGCCUGCGGUGCAUUAGCUAGUUGGUGGGGUAGUGGCUAACCAAGGCAACGAUGCAUAGCCGACCUGAGAGGGUGAUCGGCCACACUGGGACUGAGACACGGCCCAAACUCCUACGGGAGGCAGCAGUAGGGAAUCUUCGGCAAUGGACGGAAGUCUGACCGAGCAACGCCGCGUGAGUGAAGAAGGUUUUCGGAUCGUAAAACUCUGUUGUUCGAGAAGAACAAGGAUGAGAGUAACUGUUCAUCCCUUGACGGUAUCUAAACAGAAAGCCACGGCUAACUACGUGCCAGCCGCCGCUGUAA